rnacentral:rRNA from 1 species
CCUGCCGCAUGCAGGGGGAUACCAGCUGGAAACAGCUGCUAAUACCGCAUAUGCGCACGGCGCCGCAUGGCGCAGUGCGGAAAGGGAGCAAUCCCGGCAUGCGAUGGGUCCGCGUCCGAUUAGCUUGUUGGCGGGGCAGCGGCCCACCAAGGCGACGAUCGGUAGCCGGCCUGAGAGGGCGGACGGCCACAUUGGGACUGAGACACGGCCCAGACUCCUACGGAAGGCAGCAG